rnacentral:misc_RNA from 1 species
UUUCCGUAGGUGAACCUGCGGAAGGAUCAUUAUUGAAUGAACUUGGUGUGGUUGUUGCUGGCUCUUUCGAGGGCAUGUGCACGCCCACCAUCCUCAUCUCUCCACCUGUGCACCUCUUGUAGACUUGGAUUGACUUUCCGAGGCAACUCGGUCGGGAGGAUUGCCGGCGCCAGCUGGCUUUCUUUGCAUUUCCAGGUCUACGUUUUUCAUAUACCCCAUUGUAUGUAACAGAAUGUAACAUUGGGCACUUGUGCCUAUAAACUUUAUACAACUUUCAGCAACGGAUCUCUUGGCUCUC